UCCGGAUCUUCUGUACCGAAGGUGGAGCUGUAGGACGGAAGAUCUCUGCCAUAAUGACCCACAUGGGACAUGAUGCCGGCGAACUGUCUGUGUAUGAACUUCAGCGACUUGAACAUCUUUGAAGAUUUCACAAGCAUGUGGACAUGCAGCAGAGGAUCUCCGGACUCGGGAUGCAAGUGAGGCCAAAGCAAGAUAAUGAAGACCUUGAAUGCAGACAGGCCGAGGCAGACACUGCUGAGAAGACCAUGGGCAUCUACACAGUCCGGACAGAGGGUGAUGGUCUAGGUGAUGCAUGUUUUGAAGAUGUCUGUGUGGCACUGGACGGUGUGAGUUCUCCAGAGCCUGCGGAGUGUCGGCCAUGCAUGUGUUGGGCUUUAUGAACGAAUCUAUGCACCAACUUGAGCUAUCCAAAAAGACUGCGAAAUAUACAUACAUUUGAGGGUUACCAGAAAGUUCUGAUGGACCUGUACUCAAGCAAGCUUGAAAUAGCUCCUGUGAUUCAGUGGCAUACACGCCUGUUAGACUCUCACUUCGCUUCCGCUCACACUGCCGCAGUGGCAUUGGUUGUGACCCGUAGAUGGUCGACCAGGGGAAAAAAACUAUAAAACUCAUGAUAUUUUUGUCUUCGACCAAGUGGUCAGUGUGGAGGAGUUUGAGGUUUUUUU